rnacentral:sRNA from 1 species
AGAAAUAACUUAAGUACAUAUCAUAAACACAAAACUAAUACUGUUCUUCGCCUUCUUGUUCUUCAUCAUCAGA